AUUGAACGCUGGCGGCAGGCCUAACACAUGCAAGUCGAGCGGAUGAAGGGAGCUUGCUCCUGGAUUCAGCGGCGGACGGGUGAGUAAUGCCUAGGAAUCUGCCUGGUAGUGGGGGAUAACGUCCGGAAGCGGGCGCUAAUACCGCAUACGUCCUGAGGGAGAAAGUGGGGGAUCUUCGGACCUCACGCUAUCAGAUGAGCCUAGGUCGGAUUAGCUAGUUGGUGGGGUAAAGGCCUACCAAGGCGACGAUCCGUAACUGGUCUGAGAGGAUGAUCAGUCACACUGGAACUGAGACACGGUCCAGACUCCUACGGGAGGCAGCAGUGGGGAAUAUUGGACAAUGGGCGAAAGCCUGCUCCAGCCAUGCCGCGUGUGUGAAGAAGGUCUUCGGAUUGUAAAGCACUUUAAGUUGGGAGGAAGGGCAGUAAGUUAAUACCUUGCUGUUUUGACGUUACCAACAGAAUAAGCACCGGCUAACUUCGUG
rnacentral:rRNA from 1 species